CCUACGGGUGGCAGCAGUCGAGAAUCAUUCACAAUGGGGGAAACCCUGAUGGUGCGACGCCGCGUGGGGGAAUGAAGGUCUUCGGAUUGUAAACCCCUGUCAUGUGGGAGCAAAUUAAAAAGAUAGUACCACAGGAGGAAGAGACGGCUAACUCUGUGCCAGCAGCCGCGGUAAUACAGAGGUUUCAAGCGUUGUCCGGAAUCACUGGGCGUAAAGCGUGCGUAGGCUGUUUCGGAAGACGUGUGUGAAAGGCGCGGGCUCAACCCGCGGACGGCACAUGAUACUGCGAGACUAGAGUGAUGGAGGGGGAGCCGGAAUUCUCGGUGUAGCAGUGAAAUGCGUAGAUAUCGAGAGGAACACUCGUGGCGAAGGCGGGUUCCUGGACAUUAACUGACGCUGAGGCACGAAGGCCAGGGGAGCGAAAGGGAUUAGAUACCCCAGUAGUC
rnacentral:rRNA from 1 species